rnacentral:rRNA from 1 species
AGAGUUUGAUCCUGGCUCAGGAUGAACGCUGGCGGCGUGCCUAACACAUGCAAGUCGAGCGAUUCUCUUCGGAGAAGAGCGGCGGACGGGUGAGUAACGCGUGGGUAACCUACCCUGUACACACGGAUAACAUACCGAAAGGUAUGCUAAUACGGGAUAAUAUAUAAGAGUCGCAUGACUUUUAUAUCAAAGAUUUUUCGGUACAGGAUGGACCCGCGUCUGAUUAGCUUGUUGGCGGGGUAACGGCCCACCAAGGCGACGAUCAGUAGCCGACCUGAGAGGGUGAUCGGCCACAUUGGAACUGAGACACGGUCCAAACUCCUACGGGAGGCAGCAGUGGGGAAUAUUGCACAAUGGGCGCAAGCCUGAUGCAGCAACGCCGCGUGAGCGAUGAAGGCCUUCGGGUCGUAAAGCUCUGUCCUCAAGGAAGAUAAUGACGGUACUUGAGGAGGAAGCCCCGGCUAACUACGUG